GGGGGGCGCGGCCGGCUCCGGGGCGUCGCGGGCUGAUGACGCAGGGCGCGGCCGGGCAGCAUGGCGUCCGUGUCGCUGAGCGAGGCGGAGAAGGUGUACAUCGUGCACGGCGUGCAGGAGGACCUCCGCGUGGAUGGCCGGGGCUGCGAGGACUACCGCGGCGUCGAAGUGGAGACGGACGUCGUGUCCAACACCAGUGGCUCCGCCAGGGUCAGGCUGGGCCACACGGACAUCUUGGUGGGAGUGAAGGCAGAAAUGGGGACGCCGAAGCUGGAGAAGCCGAACGAAGGUUACCUGGAGUUCUUUGUUGACUGCUCGGCCAACGCUACCCCUGAAUUUGAAGGUCGAGGAGGCGAUGACCUCGGCACGGAGAUCGCCAACACCCUCUACCGGAUAUUCCACAACAAGAGCAGCGUCGACCUGGAGGCGCUCUGCAUCAGCCCGCGGGAGCACUGCUGGGUGCUCUACGUGGACGUGCUGCUGCUGGAGUGUGGCGGGAACCUGUUCGAUGCCAUCUCCAUCGCCGUGAAGGCCGCCCUCUUCAACACGAGGAUCCCAAGAGUCCGUGUUCUGGAGGACGAAGAGGGGUCAAAGGACAUUGAACUCUCUGACGACCCUUACGACAGCAUCCGGCUGAGCGUGGAGCACGUGCCCUGCAUCGUCACCCUGUGCAAGAUCGGCUGCCGGCACGUGGUGGACGCCACGCUUCAGGAGGAGGCCUGCUCCUUGGCCAGCUUGCUGGUGGCCGUGACCAGCAAGGGGGUCGUGACGUGCGUGAGGAAAGUGGGGAAGGGCAGCCUGGACCCAGAGAGCGUCUUCGAGAUGAUGGAGACCAGCAAGCGGGUGGGCAAGGUGCUGCACGCCUCCCUGCAGAGCGUCCUGCACAAGGAAGAGAGCCUGGGGCCCAGGAGGCCGAAGGUCGGGUUCCUGGGCUGACGCGCACGCCGACCCCCGUCGCCGGAGUGCCGCGCUGACUUCUCCGCGUGAGCCGGAGUGUUGGGUGUCCCUCCAGGUGCCACGGCAGGGCUCCCGGCGAGACACCAGCCUGUCCCUCCCUGCCUGCCCCUGGCUGCCUGCGCGUGAUGGAACAUGA